GUGCUUGCUUCGGCAGCACAUAUGCUAAAACUGGUACAAUACAGAGAAGAUUAGUGUGGCCCCUGAACAAGGAUGACAAGCACAUUUGUGAGGCGUUCUGUACUUUU